CAGAGGGUGCAAACGUUGUUCGGAAUUACUGGGCGUAAAGCGCGUGUAGGCGGCUUGGCAAGUCGGGUGUGAAAGCCCUGGGCUCAACCUAGGAAGUGCACUCGAAACUGCUUCGCUUGAGUGUCGGAGAGGAAAGCGGAAUUCUCGGUGUAGAGGUGAAAUUCGUAGAUAUCGAGAGGAACACCGGUGGCGAAGGCGGCUUUCUGGACGAUUACUGACGCUGAGACGCGAAAGCGUGGGGAGCAAACAGGAUUAGAUACCCUGGUAGUCCACGCCGUAAACGAUGGGUGCUAGGUGUCGCGGGCUUUGACCCCUGCGGUGCCGUAGCUAACGCAUUAAGCACCCCGCCUGGGGAGUACGGCCGCAAGGCUA
rnacentral:rRNA from 1 species